rnacentral:pre_miRNA from 1 species
UUACUCUUCCCUCGGUUUGAAAUUACUUGUCUCGCAAAUAGAUGUAUCUAGAUGUAUUUUAAUUCUAGAUACAUUCAUUUUCGAGACAAAUAAUUCCGAACAGAGGGAGUAGGUA